CUACGGGUUGCAGCAGUGGGGAAUAUUGCACAAUGGGCGCAAGCCUGAUGCAGCCAUGCCGCGUGUAUGAAGAAGGCCUUCGGGUUGUAAAGUACUUUCAGCGGGGAGGAAGGGAGUAAAGUUAAUACCUUUGCUCAUUGACGUUACCCGCAGAAGAAGCACCGGCUAACUCCGUGCCAGCAGCCGCGGUAAUACGGAGGGUGCAAGCGUUAAUCGGAAUUACUGGGCGUAAAGCGCACGCAGGCGGUUUGUUAAGUCAGAUGUGAAAUCCCCGGGCUCAACCUGGGAACUGCAUCUGAUACUGGCAAGCUUGAGUCUCGUAGAGGGGGGUAGAAUUCCAGGUGUAGCGGUGAUAUGCGUAGAGAUUUGGAGGAAUACCGGUGGCGAAGGCGGCCCCCUGGACGAAGACUGACGCUCAGGUGCGAAAGCGUGGGGAGCAAACAGGAUUAGAUACCCGCGUAGUC
rnacentral:rRNA from 1 species